rnacentral:lncRNA from 1 species
AGACCCUCUGAACCUGCCUGCUCUACAGUAUCCAGUGGGAAAACAAAACCACAAACCUCUUCAGAAGCUCAGGGUAUCAGCAGGUUGCCACCCAGCUGCCACCCCAGUCUCUGAUUUUGUCCCCUUGGUGCCUGUGAACUUUCCUGCAGGGUUAACAGCUGGCAGAGCCAGAGGCACACGAGGACACCCUGAAAAAGCUUAUGGAGAUCAGGGACACAAGAGUUACCGGAGCUACACCCCAAGACCUCUGUGCAUUUCCAGCCCCAGUGAUGCUGUCCUGACAUGCCAGCACUGCUUCUUGGUGGCUUUCUGCAUGCUCACCUUUCUGCUGGAAUGACCUCCUCUGACCCAGUGAGGUUGCUCAGGAAGGUGCGGGGAAUGUGGAACGAGAGUCUGAAACAGUUUGUCAGCAUCCUGGCACCACCCCAGGGUGCUGUCCAUACCUACUGCCAACUCUGCCUUGAUGCAAUCUGGAAAUUCUGGUAUUGGAGGAGAGCCGGUAGAAGACAAUGAAAGCAGAAAGGCUAGCCAACUGACCACUGCAGUCUUCUGCUCAAUGAACAGUGACAUCCUAGAAGGUGGCCUACUUGCUCCCCUGCCUGGAAAUUUCUGCACAAAGGUCAUUCCAAGCAUGGAUUUCAGCACCCCGUCACUGUUACCAGAUAACCUCCAUAGUUCAUCUCCUCAAGACCCAAGCUACUACCUGAUAGUCUCAGAAAAGCUCUCCAGGAAAUCAUGAAUCCAUAAGCUGUGGCUGUCUUUUAUUUUGAAACGGGGUCUCAAUAGGUAGACCUGGCUAGCCUCCCACUAUCCAUUCUCCCUCCUCCACCUGCUGACUCAGCAGUCAGGACUACAGGUAUGAGCUGGAUAUGUACCUUUAAAAGUGACAUGUGAAAGUUAUUGUUUGCUUCCUACAUGAGAGCUUGUUAGCCAAGUCUCUCAAUGCCCUGAGUCUCUAUCUUUAUCUCUGAAAAUGAUUUACAGCUUUUACUUGGUGACCCCAUAGGCACAUCAUAUGGAUCAAUGACACCAUAAAUGUCAAAGAGCUUUGUACACUGUGAAGGGCAGAACUAGUUCAUUUGAGUCUCUGGAACCUCCCUCAAUGUCCAUUCAAGACAGUCUGCACAUUGUUUCCCUGCAUGGGGAUUCUUCUUCAUUUACUGGUAAAUCCUGACCCACACUCUCACCCAUCUCCCCACACCACACCCUCAGUCAUUGCCACCAAAUCCAUAUCAAAAAGACUGAAGCUAGGAGGUGGAGGUUACCAGAUGUAAUCAAGACGGUGUCAGGCUGUGCACAGUAGCACACUCCUGUUAUCCCGGCAACUUAGUAGAAGCUGAAGAAUCAAGAGUUCAGAACUAUCUUCAGAUACAGAGUGAAUUUGGGUCAGCAUGGGAGACACAAAACCCUGUCUCAAAAAAAAAAAGAAAGAAAGAAAGAAAGAAAGAAAACAUGAUAUUUACAUAUAGUUAGAUUGAUCAACAGGAAGACAUGAAUCAAAAACAGAACUCCACACAGUACACCUGAUUUAUGACGGAGGUGAUACUGCCGAGCAGUGGGAAAACAACUGCUGGUAUCCAUUUGGAAAAAGAUUCUAUCUCUUUAUCAUCUAUGUAUAUUUAUCAUCAUCAUCAUCAUUAUUAGUUUGGGUGUUUGUGAGACAGGGUCUCAUGUAGUAGAAGCUAACCUCAAACUUGCUAUGCAGUUAAGAUGACCUUGAACUCCUGACCUUGAACUCU